UGCCGCGUGCAGGAUGACGGUCCUAUGGAUUGUAAACUGCUUUUGUACGAGAAGAAACACUCCUUCGUGAAGGAGCUUGACGGUAUCGUAAGAAUAAGGAUCGGCUAACUCCGUGCCAGCAGCCGCGGUAAUACGGAGGAUCCAAGCGUUAUCCGGAAUCAUUGGGUUUAAAGGGUCCGUAGGCGGUCUAGUAAGUCAGUGGUGAAAGCCCAUCGCUCAACGGUGGAACGGCCAUUGAUACUGCUGGACUUGAAUUAUUGGGAAGUAACUAGAAUAUGUAGUGUAGCGGUGAAAUGCUUAGAGAUUACAUGGAAUACCAAUUGCGAAGGCAGGUUACUACCAAUUGAUUGACGCUGAUGGACGAAAGCGUGGGUAGCGAACAGGAUUAGAUACCCUGGUAGUCCACGCCGUAAACGAUGGAUACUAGCUGUUGGGCGCAAGCUCAGUGGCUAAGCGAAAGUGAUAAGUAUCCCACCUGGGGAGUACGUUCGCAAGAAUGAAACUCAAAGGAAUUGACGGGGGCCCGCACAAGCGGUGGAGCAUGUGGUUUAAUUCGAUGAUACGCGAGGAACCUUACCAAGGCUUAAAUGUAGAUUGACCGUUUUGGAAACAGAACUUU
rnacentral:rRNA from 1 species